rnacentral:rRNA from 1 species
UGGGCCCGCGGCCUAUCAUCUUGUUGGUGGGGUAAUGGCCUACCAAGGCGACGACGGGUAGCCGGCCUGAGAGGGUGACCGGCCACACUGGGACUGAGAUACGGCCCAGACUCCUACGGGAGGCAGCAGUGGGGAAUAUUGCACAAUGGGCGCAAGCCUGAUGCAGCGACGCCGCGUGAGGGAUGACGGCCUUCGGGUUGUAAACCUCUUUCAGCACAGACGAAGCGCAAGUGACGGUAUGUGCAGAAGAAGGACCGGCCAACUACGUGCCAGCAGCCGCGGUAAUACGUAGGGUCCGAGCGUUGUCCGGAAUUACUGGGCGUAAAGAGCUCGUAGGUGGUUUGUCGCGUUGUUCGUGAAAACUCACAGCUUAACUGUGGGCGUGCGGGCGAUACGGGCAGACUAGAGUACUGCAGGGGAGACUGGAAUUCCUGGUGUAGCGGUGGAAUGCGCAGAUAUCAGGAGGAACACCGGUGGCGAAGGCGGGUCUCUGGGCAGUAACUGACGCUGAGGAGCGAAAGCGUGGGGAGCGAACAGGAUUAGAUACCCUGGUAGUCCACGCCGUAAACGGUGGGUACUAGGUGUGGGUUUCCUUCCUUGGGAUCCGUGCCGUAGCUAACGCAUUAAGUACCCCGCCUGGGGAGUACGGCCGCAAGGCUAAAACUC